ACGAACGCUGGCGGCGUGCUUAACACAUGCAAGUCGAACGGAAAGGCCCUGCUUGCAGGGUACUCGAGUGGCGAACGGGUGAGUAACACGUGGGUGAUCUGCCCUGCACUUCGGGAUAAGCCUGGGAAACUGGGUCUAAUACCGGAUAGGAGCCAUUUUUAGUGUGAUGGUUGGAAAGUUUUUUCGGUGUAGGAUGAGCUCGCGGCCUAUCAGCUUGUUGGUGGGGUAAUGGCCUACCAAGGCGGCGACGGGUAGCCGGCCUGAGAGGGUGGACGGCCACAUUGGGACUGAGAUACGGCCCAGACUCCUACGGGAGGCAGCAGUGGGGAAUAUUGCACAAUGGGCGCAAGCCUGAUGCAGCGACGCCGCGUGGGGGAUGACGGCCUUCGGGUUGCAAACUCCUUUCGCUAGGGACGAAGCUUUUUGUGACGGUACCUAGAUAAGAAGCACCGGCUAACUACGUG
rnacentral:rRNA from 1 species